ensembl:lncRNA
CGCCAAGUAGAGGUAAGUCAUGAACUAUAGCUCUAAGUAAUAAGUAGUCCCAUUUUAUGUCAAUGCUAUUAUAAAUCCGUCCCUGACACAUUAUUACAUAUCUAUUAUAUAUUUAUCGAAGUGUAAAAGUUAAAUCUAGCCUACCACAUAUUGCUCGAUUGAAAUAAGGUUAACCGUGCUCGGGGCUUUGUGAACCUCGGGCCCGCCACGGCCUCUCUCACCUCACUCUCCAAACACCAAAGGGCCCUUGCCCCCUUUUCGAAAAGUUCAAUGUCAUUUUAGAAAUUCAUCUAACUGAUCGAUAACGCUAACAAUUAUGUAUGUUAUUGUAAAUGGUUUUUCACGGGGAAAACACCGAUCGAUUUAUCGUCGUAACCUUCUGUCACCAUAACCGUAAAGUCGAAAGCCAUAAGCGUAAUACCGCAUGAAUAUAGGCCUACAGAUCGGUACAUUUGUGGAACGUUCUUGCUGCAUGUAUUCACGCCACCGCACUUAAUGAGGGUCAUAUCUGAAGCAAUGCUGCUGCUGGAGGUGUUUUAACGACUGCAUUAGCUCACUCUCUUGCUAGUGGCUACUGACGUUUAUGUAUAAAUUAUGUUAGUAGCCUACACGGUUCGGUAUGCGCUGUACACAAUCGUGGUUGGUUCAACUUUUCAGUGUUGAACCGUGAUUUUUACCGAAUUAUUCAGUGUCUUUAUCGACUUCCAAUGCAAGUAAUGUUGUUGUAAAUGUAAACUUAAUGAGACACCGUGAUAGGAGCGUACAACUCAUGCCGUUUUAUUCUCUUUUCACAAUUUUUUCUCAAUACGUCGUCACUCACACACUUAAUUUCUUGUACCAGAAUUCAAAAUUGCAUGCGUAUGCUUCAGACCCAAGCAGUGGUCCAAUCUAUGUAUGUGGUAAAGACUCCAUUAAUUAAAUAAUAAAUUGAAUAUGUUUCAUUACAGAGACUCAUAGAGAGAUUAUCGAACAGCGACGAUGGACAGGAAGACAUUGUUUUCUUUGUGGGCUCAACUGACCCCUGCUUCCAUCAUGAUGGAGGACAGGGAGUCAUACACCGAGGAGACCAGGCUCGUCCCCGCCCCCCCUACUGAGGCCAAGCCCCCGGGCCUUAACCCCCGCUACCCUCGUGGGGCUAGGCUGCCCUGGUUGGCUGCCCCAGCUGGUGGCAGCAACGAGAGGGUCGUCCUCCGCCCCCCUACUGAGGCCAAGCCCCCGGGCCUUAACCCCCGCUACCCUCGUGGGGCUAGGCUGCCCCGGUUGGCUGUGGCUGAGGAGGCUGACGGCCAGGAAGCCUGGAUCCAGGCGGCCCACUCCGACACCGUGUCCCUCUGUGCACGGGCUCAGGGUGCCGCCUCGAGCCAGGAGACUUCCCCGGGCCGAACCCCCCCAGAAGUGGCUGACCCUGACCACCAUCGUGGGUCUAGGCUCCCCUGGUUGGCCGCCCCAGCCGCUGGCGCCAGCGACAGGAUCGUCCUCCGCCCCCCUACUGACGCCAAGCCCCCGGGCCUUAACCCCCGCUACCCUCGUGGGUCUAGGCUGCCCCGGUUGGCUGCCCCAGCCGCUGGUGCCAACGAGAGGACCGUCCUCCGCCCCCCUACUGAGGCCAAGCCCCCGGGCCUUAACCCCUGCUACCCUCGCGGGUCUAGGCUGCCCCGGUUGGCUGCCCCAGCCGCUGGCGCCAACGAGAGGGUUGUCCUCAUCCCUACUGAGGCCCAGCCCCCGGGCCUUAACCCCCGCUACCCUCGUGGGUCUAGGCUGCCCCGGUUGGCUGCCCCAGCUGGUGGCAGCAACGAGAGGAUCGUCCUCCGCCCCCCUACUGAGGCCAAGCCCCCGGGCCUUAACCCCCGCUACCCUAGUGGGUCUAGGCUGCCCCGGUUGGCUGUGGCUGAGGAGGCUGACGGCCAGGAAGCCUGGAUCCAGGCGGCCCACUCCGACACCAUGUCCCUCCGUGCACGGGCUCUGGGUGCCGCCUCGAGCCAGGAGACUUCCCCGGGCCGAACCCCCCCAGAAGUGGCUGACCCUGACCACCAUCGUGGGGCUAGGCUGCCCCGGUUGGCUGUCCCAGCCGCUGGCGCCAACGACAGGAUCGUCCUCUGCCCUACUGAGGCCAAGCCCCCACAUAGACCCCCAGUGUCCUUCACAGUGGAUCUGCGGGACGCCCCGUUGAGCUCCGCCUCCUCGUCCCGGAACGCCGCUGCCUCCGCCCGCCGCCGGGCGCACGGUGGCGCCGAGGCGGACCUCUCUGGGACGGAGCGCUCCCAGUCCGCCAACGGCCAGAGGUCCCAGGCCCCAGGCAGGAUCGUCCUCCGCCCCCCUACUGAGGCCAAGCCCCCGGGCCUUAACCCCCGCUACCCUCGUGGGUCUAGGCUGCCCCGGUUGGCUGUGGCUGAGGAGGCUGACGGCCAGGAAGCCUGGAUCCAGGCGGCCCACUCCGACACCGUGUCCCUCUGUGCACGGGCUCUGGGUGCCGCCUCGAGCCAGGAGACUUCUCCGGGCCAAACCCCCACAGAAGUGGCUGACCCUGACCACCCUCGUGGGGCUAGGCUGCCCCGGUUGGCUGCCCCAGCCGCUGGCGCCAACGACAGGAUCGUCCUCCGCCCUACUGAGGCCAAGCCCCCACAUAGACCCCCAGUGUCCUUCACAGUGGAUCUGCGGGACGCCCCGCUGAGCUCCGCCCCCUCGUCCCGGAACGCCGCUGCCUCCGCCCGCCGCCGGGUGCCCAGAGAGGUCCGCCUCCGUCCCGAGGCGGACCUCUCUGGGACGGAGCGCUCCCAGUUCGCCAACGGCCAGAGGUCCCAGGCCCCAGGCAGCCCGCCGGCCUCUGACGUUCCUGAAGGCGUGGCGGGCAGAGGUAAGUACGCGUUGAGCCCGUUUCCCCCUGUGCAGGAGCGUCUGAGGAACGGCAGGAUCCCCCGGGAGAAGCUCCGGGGCCCGCCCCCCCACCAGGCAGGGGAAGAGGCCGGGCCCUCUGGGAAGAGGCAGAAGAACGGGGGCCGCUGUUUCCCCGACCAGAGGUUGACCGCUGAGCCCGAGCUGGAGGAGAAGCUGUUGGAUAGCAGAGAUGAGCCGGCCCAGGGCUCCCUCAGCGGCCCCCAGCGAGACCCACCCGGGCCCCACCCCUUCCCCAAACCUGAGCUGGCCAUGACACAGAGCCUCACUCUCAUCAGCUCAGAGAACUGGUGA